UAUUGAAUGCAUUCAUAGAGAACAUGUGUUCGAGGUGAUCGCUCUUAACUGCAUAAAGUGAAAUUUAAGGAAUACAUUUUCAAGAAAGAGAGAUUGUAUCGAACAAUCACAAAAGUUAUAAACAACAGUCUCAUCCACGGCAAGACAGUCAUCUGAAGCAGGGAACAGGAGCUCCAAAGGAAUAACUUGUUACAAAGUUACAUGGCAGGUCAGCACUUCCUCAGGGUUCCGUUUCUUUUUACAUUGUUAUUUUUUUAAAUUAUAUUUAUUUACUUUUGGC